AAUGGGCGCAAGCCUGAUCCAGCCAUGCCGCGUGAGUGAUGAAGGCCUUAGGGUCGUAAAGCUCUUUCGCCAGAGAUGAUAAUGACAGUAUCUGGUAAAGAAACCCCGGCUAACUCCGUGCCAGCAGCCGCGGUAAUACGGAGGGGGUUAGCGUUGUUCGGAAUUACUGGGCGUAAAGCGCACGUAGGCGGAUCAGAAAGUAUGAGGUGAAAUCCCAGGGCUCAACCCUGGAACUGCCUUGUAAACUCCUGGUCUUGAGUUCGAGAGAGGUGAGUGGAAUUCCGAGUGUAGAGGUGAAAUUCGUAGAUAUUCGGAGGAACACCAGUGGCGAAGGCGGCUCACUGGCUCGAUACUGACGCUGAGGUGCGAAAGUGUGGGGAGCAAACAGGAUU
rnacentral:rRNA from 1 species